rnacentral:rRNA from 6 species
GGGACACGUGGUAUCCUGUCUGAAUAUGGGGGGACCAUCCUCCAAGGCUAAAUACUCCUGACUGACCGAUAGUGAACCAGUACCGUGAGGGAAAGGCGAAAAGAACCCCGGCGAGGGGAGUGAAAAAGAACCUGAAACCGUGUACGUACAAGCAGUGGGAGCACCUUCGGGUGUGACUGCGUACCUUUUGUAUAAUGGGUCAGCGACUUAUAUUCUGUAGCAAGGUUAACCGUAUAGGGGAGCCGCAGGGAAACCGAGUCUUAACUGGGCGUUAAGUUGCAGGGUAUAGACCCGAAACCCGGUGAUCUAGCCAUGGGCAGGUUGAAGGUUGGGUAACACUAACUGGAGGACCGAACCGACUAAUGUUGAAAAAUUAGCGGAUGACUUGUGGCUGGGGGUGAAAGGCCAAUCAAACCGGGAGAUAGCUGGUUCUCCCCGAAAGCU